GAUGAACGCUAGCGAUAGGCUUAACACAUGCAAGUCGAGGGGCAGCAUGGUCUUAGCUUGCUAAGACUGAUGGCGACCGGCGCACGGGUGCGUAACGCGUAUGCAACUUGCCUCACAGAGGGGGAUAACCCGUCGAAAGACGGACUAAUACCGCGUACACUUGGGAUAGGGCAUCCUGACCCAAGGAAAUGAAAUUCGCUGUGAGAUAGGCAUGCGUCCCAUUAGCUAGUUGGUGAGGUAACGGCUCACCAAGGCGACGAUGGGUAGGGGGACUGAGAGGUUGAACCCCCACACUGGUACUGAGACACGGACCAGACUCCUACGGGAGGCAGCAGUGAGGAAUAUUGGUCAAUGGGCGAGAGCCUGAACCAGCCAAGUCGCGUGAAGGAUGACUGUCUUAUGGAUUGUAAACUUCUUUUAUACGGGAAUAACAAGAGCCACGUGUGGCUCCCUGCAUGUACCGUAUGAAUAAGCAUCGGCUAACUCCGUG
rnacentral:rRNA from 1 species